UGGCGGACGGGUGAGUAACGCGUGGGGAACCUGCCCUGUACAGGGGGAUAACACUUAGAAAUAGGUGCUAAUACCGCAUAAGCGCACAGUAUCGCAUGAUACAGUGUGAAAAACUCCGGUGGUACAGGAUGGACCCGCGUCUGAUUAGCUGGUUGGCGGGGUAACGGCCCACCAAGGCGACGAUCAGUAGCCGGCCUGAGAGGGUGAACGGCCACAUUGGGACUGAGACACGGCCCAAACUCCUACGGAAGGCAGCAG
rnacentral:rRNA from 1 species